UACGAAGGGGGCUAGCGUUGCUCGGAAUGACUGGGCGUAAAGCGUGCGCAGGCGGUUUUGUAAGUUUGUCGUGAAAGCCCCGGGCUCAACCUGGGAAUUGCAUUUGAGACUGCUCUGCUCGGGUGCGGAAGAGGGAAGCGGAAUUCCUGGUGUAGCGGUGGAAUGCGCAGAUAUCAGGAGGAACACCAAUGGCGAAGGCAGAUCUCUGGGCCGUAACUGACGCUGAGGAGCGAAAGCAUGGGGAGCGAACAGG
rnacentral:rRNA from 1 species